AUAAUGAUACUUCCGUCCAGUCACAGCCCCCUGAAGGGGAUCACGCAAUGAGGGCGGCUCCGGGAGAACCUCGGAGGGGUGAGAAUCCCAUGA
rnacentral:ncRNA from 1 species